rnacentral:misc_RNA from 1 species
AGUUCUUUGCUGGGGGUAUAUUCUUGUUGCUAUCCUUUCAUGCUACAUGGUGGAUGUUGAUUGGUUGAUGUCUGGUGGGUACUUUUAAGUCUGUGUGAUAUGCAUUUAUUUUUUUUUAUAUAUUUUUUUAGUAAAUUCUUCAGAUUUGGAUCCAUUUUUGUUCUGGGAGGGGCUCUUAUAGUAACAAUAAACAGCUUGAGAGAUUCAAGUUUUCUUUCACAAUUGUUGAGUAUGCUUCAAGAAGAAAGUUUUCUUAUUUAAGAGGCUAUUUUUACUCCCACAAACAUGCUUGCCAAGUAUGUUGGUGCUCUUUGUUUCUUUUCUAUGCAUUUA